UUACCAAAUGAUGAAACUUGGAUUCAUCUCACGACGGUCGUCUGAGAUGGACACCUUAACCGGUGUACAUGAUGCAUACCUCCAAUUGUUUCUGAUGGGU